UGUGGUUUUCGAAUCAGUCAUUGAACCUCAUUGAACGAAACGAACGACAGACAGCGACAGAAAGCUAAACUAGAAUCUCAAAGGCCCCGCCUAUAAAUUCUGUUAUUUAUUUCAGUUUGGGAAAACGCGAUGAUAUUUUUAUAAUUUAGGAUAUUAGAUUGUAAGGAAGAAGACUUUCAAACAUGGGUACAACUUGUAGAAUAUUAUGCUUAGUCGCAGUAUUAUCGCAAGCAUCGGCGCUGUUGACAUCUCCGCCGCGGAUGGUGAAGCAGCCGGUGGCAGGCGAGCAGCUGUUCCAAGUGGCUCUGAAGGGCGAGGCCGACAAGCCCUUCAUCAUUGAGUGCGAGGCAGAGGGAGAACCAGCACCUAAAUACCGAUGGGAGAAGAACGGCAAAGCUUUCGAGUACACGAGCUACGACAAGCGAAUCUCUCAGCAGCCGGGCCGCGGCACCCUGUACUUCACGGAGCCCCGCGAUGAAGACAUCGGACAGUACCAGUGCUUCGCCGAGAACGAGUGGGGCAUCGCCGCCUCCAACUCCGUCUUCUUACGCAAAGCUGAGCUGAACUCUUUCAAGGAAUCCGACGGCCAGCAGCAAACCCAAACAGCUCAAGAAGGCUACCCUUUUAAGCUAGCGUGCCAGCCGCCAGACGGCUGGCCCAAGCCUAUGGUCUACUGGAUGUUGCAAGGAGAUCAGGGACAGCUGAAGACGAUCAACAACUCGCGUAUGACGCUGGACCCGGAAGGGAACUUGUGGUUUUCGAACGUCACUCGACACGACGCAUCUGAAGACUACGCCUACACUUGUGCGGCUAAGUCGUCGUUCAGGAAUGAGUACAAGUUGGGCAGCAAGGUGUUCCUGGUUGUGCAGCAGACGGGGAUAGCGCCGGGGCUGAACAAACACGCGCCGGUACACCAGUAUACCACGAGGAGGAACGAGGUCGGGCUGAGAGGGAAGAAGGUCGAACUCUACUGUAUUUAUGGCGGAACGCCUCUCCCCCAAACGGUAUGGAAGAAAGACGGUCGCUCGAUCCUCUCCUCACAAGGAGUCACUCAAGACAACUACGGCAAGACGCUGGUGAUCAAGAGUGCGGGGUACGAAGACCAGGGGACAUACACCUGCGAAGUGAGCAACGGAGUGGGGACGGCUCAGACGUACUCGAUCAAUCUCAAUAUACAAGCGGCGCCAAUCUUCACGGAGGAACCCCAGUUCCUGAACCUGGCUGAGGGCGAGACGGCGGAGUUCCGCUGCCAGGCCGACGGAACCCCGGAGCCCCAGAUCAAGUGGAUCUACAACGGGCGGCCCAUUGAGCGCGCGCCGCCCAACGCACGCCGACAAGUCAACCCUGAUUCGAUUAUUAUUACGGACCUGGUGAAGAAUGAUACGGGGAACUAUGGAUGCAACGCUACGAAUUCGCUGGGAUACGUGUACAAGGAUGUUUAUAUUAAUGUGCAGUCCAUUCCCCCAGAGGUCAAAGAGGGUCCAGGCAACCUGACGAAGGUGGACGGGUCGGAGGCGGUGCUGGCGUGCCGCGUGUUCGGGGCGCCGCGCCCGCUCAUCAAGUGGAUCAAAGAUGGCGCCGAGGUCACUGGAGGAAGAUACAACAUAACGACGGAGGGCGACCUGGUGAUCCGCUCGGUGACGUACACGGACGUGGGCACGUACCAGUGCUACGCCAAGAACAAGUUCGGCGAGACCUCGGCCUUCGGCUCGCUCACUGUUAAGAAGCGCACAGUCAUCACAGACAAGCCGGAACACUACGAAGUAGCCGCGGGAUCCUCAGCAACAUUCCGUUGCAACGCCAACGCAGACGACUCCCUGCAACUAGACAUCAUCUGGCUGAAGAAGGACCAGCCGCUCGACUUCGAGAAUCAACCCCGGUUCAGAAUGACUAAUGACUAUUCGCUGCUCAUAUCGGAUACGCAGGAGUUGGACUCUGGGGAGUAUACGUGUAUCGCGAAGACGGCGAUCGAUGAGGCGCGCGCGCAGGCCACGCUGACUGUUCAAGACAAACCCAACCCGCCCGAGCUAGCCGGCAUCGAGUGCUUCGAGAAAGUGGCAACCCUGCGCUGGUCACCGAAAGGAGACAACCGGGCGCCGAUUCUCAGAUUCUCCAUCCAGUACAACACGACAUUCACGCCCGACACUUGGGACAUCGCCAACGACAACGUGCCCGCAAUCGACACCUCGUGGACGGUGGACCUUAGCCCCUGGGCUAAUUACACGUUCAGGGUUAUCGCGUGGAACAAGAUCGGGCCGUCGAUGCCGUCGUCCCACUCUGAAGUUUGCACGACUCAGCCGGACGUGCCGUAUAAGAACCCGGACAAUGUGGAGGGGAAGGGCACUGAUCCGUCGAAUAUGGUCAUCUCUUGGUCGCCAAUGCCGCAAAUCGAGCACAACGGCCCCGGCUUCUACUACCUGGUGUCGUACCGGCGCAACAUCUCGGGGCAGGCGUGGACGGACGAGCUGGUGCGCGAGUGGCGCGGCACCAGCCUGCUCGUGCGCAACACGCCCACCUUCCAGCCGUACAAGAUCAAGGUGAGUCGAGCACAACGGCCCGGCUUCUACUACCUGGUGUCGUACCGGCGCAACAUCUCGGGGCAGGCGUGGACGGACGAGCUGGUGCGCGAGUGGCGCGGCACCAGCCUGCUCGUGCGCAACACGCCCACCUUCCAGCCGUACAAGAUCAAGGUGAGUCGAGCACAACGGCCCGGCUUCUACUACCUGGUGUCGUACCGGCGCAACAUCUCGGGGCAGGCGUGGACGGACGAGCUGGUGCGCGAGUGGCGCGGCACCAGCCUGCUCGUGCGCAACACGCCCACCUUCCAGCCGUACAAGAUCAAGGUAAUCGCAGUGAACUCCAAAGGCACCUCCAACGUGGCUCCAGUAGAAGUGAUCGGCUGGUCCGGAGAAGACAGUCCGCUACAGGCCCCCACCAACUUCACCCUGGUCCAAGUGACCAGCGCCACCACCGCGCUCUUCUCAUGGAACCCUGUCACACCAGAGUCCAUCCGGGGACACUUCAAGGGCUACAAGAUACAGACCUGGACGGAUGACGGCGAUAUCAGAGAGUACAAACACAAGCCCGACUCGAAAACGGCGCUUGUUAACAAUCUGGUGGCGUAUUCCAAGAAUUAUGCGAGAGUGUUGGCGUAUAAUGAGAGGUACAAUGGACCGGUGAGCGAGGUCGUCAGCUUUGUGACUCCUGAGGGAACCCCGGAAUCGGUACGAUCAUUCAAAGCCUACCCUAUAGGGUCAUCGGCCAUGUUGCUUCGCUGGGACAAGCCAGAACGCGAGAAUGGCAUAUUAACUGGCUACAAAAUCUACUACCAAAAGGUCAUAGGCACAGCGACUGGUUCGCUCCAAGAGAGGAAGAAGGAAAUCGACCCGAAAUUCGACCGCGCAAAGCUGGCCGGACUCGAGCCCAACACUAAAUACCGCAUCAUCAUCAAGGCCAAAACACGUGCCGGCGAAGGAAAAGACAUGUUUGUCGAAGAAACCACCAAAUCGGUCGAGACUAAAAUCCCUGAUGUGCCGAUAUUCGAAGCUUCAACUUUGCCUGCUAAGCAAGGCACAGCGCAUAUCCUCGUCCGUUGGAUCCCUAGUCUUGAAGGUCAUGCGGGGACGCACUUCAUCGCUUGGUACCGUCUGAAGGCUCAUCCUGCCUGGAUGAAGACUAAUGAAGUGACGGAUGAAGACUAUACUGUACUGACCGGGCUGGAGCCAGGGCAGGUGUACGAGGUCAAGAUUACUGCACACGAUGGAGAAUACUUCAGAGAUAGUGAGAUUAAAGAAGUGGAUACUACUAUUGACGGCCCAGUAAUAAUGCGCGACGACAAGAUGGCUCACGCCGGCUGGUUCAUCGGCGUGAUGUUAGCUCUCGCCUUCCUUCUACUAGUGUUGGUGCUGGUGUGCGUGGCGCGGCGCAACCGCGGCGGCAAGUACGACGUGCACGAGAGGGAGCUGCAGCACGGGCGGCGCGACCCGAGUCGACCCUUCCAGGAGUAUACGCAGCCCUUGGACAGCAAGUCUCGUCACUCGAUGAGCAGCGGCACGAAGCACCCUGAGAGCGAUACGGACUCCAUGGCCGAGUACGGCGAAGGAGAAACAGCGGGUAUGAACGAGGACGGUUCGUUCAUCGGACAGUACGGGCGCAAGCGACGCCCGCCACCCUCCACGGGCCAGCCCGACUCGGCCUCGCAGGCCUUCGCCACGCUCGUCUAAAACCUCCUUCACUAAACCUCUUCCAAGCACACUCACCCAAUUCCCGAACCCCAACCUUGUCCAAGCGCUAGUUUCUAAACGUAGUGCCAUCGAAAACUAAAUCUGACACAUGAAAGGCCAAUCAGCGACGAGUACGCUCGUACCGAUGCAGUGAUUGGCCCACGGCUUGACGGUGAACUUGCCCGCCUAAAUUGAUAUUUUUUUAUACGUGUAGCUAGGGAAUUGAUUUGAUCUGAUUGUUGUAAGAAUCUCUGAAACUUAUUGAAGGUUGUAAUAUUUAAUUGGUGUUUUUAAACGCCGGGCGUUCAGGGUCUUUAUUGUACUAUUUCUGAAAUAGUUUUCUAUAAAGCCUUCUACUUCACGUCUACUGCUCAGUUGUCGAAUUUUAAGAAAACAUUUGCACUGAAUCUCUUCUACUUAUUUUAUUAGCCGUAAGUACACAUUAGUAUGUAGGUAUCUAGUUAGGUUGUAAUAUAAAAGAAAUUUACAUAUUGUUUCUUAGAGUGAGUUUGAGUGACUUUCCUACUUAUUUUUAGAGGAUUUUUAUAAAAACAAAUUAUACUCGCGUCCAUUGGUAGUGAAAAGUUUGCAUUUAGGUUAGAGAGAGAUUUCCUAUAUAUCCGUCCUUCACUGUCCCUAUUCCGUUUCUAUGCACGAGCUCCAUUUUCCUGCUGUUUAUUUUUGUUUUGUAAGGUCGCUUCACAGAGGACGGCUCAUUCAUUGGUCAAUACGUGCCGGGGGCGCGCGUGUUGCCGCCCCCGCCCCCCGCCGGCCCCGCCCCGCCCGCGCAGGCACCGCCCACCUACGUGUAAACUGCACCUUACGGCGUAGGAGACACGGCGCAGCGACAUCUAGCGGCGUGACGGGGAAACUGGUGUGUAAUGGCGCCCUCUUGUGAUUGGAUUGUGAAUGAAGUUAAUUUGUUGCUUGAAUGUAUGACCUUUUAGAUAAUUCUGGUGAAUGUUAAACUAUAUGGUGUGUCUGGACGAAUAAAAUGUAAUAGGUAAUGCUUGUAAUUCUAUGUCUAAAUAUUUAAAGUCCACUUAUCACAAAUCGAAUAACUUAAGAGUUGUAAAAGAAACAUUCACACUUCAAGAACAAGUUUACCCCUUUGCUGUUGUUCUCAUAAGGGUGUAGAGGGCGCCACAGUCUAUGAAACUGCCAUAAUGUAAUUCGAUAGGAUUAGAAUAGAAUAAGAUGCAAGCGUCAUGUUAUUAUAAAAUGUGUUUACUAAUAUUGUAAAUAACGCAGCAGAAGACUCCAUCGUCGAUUACUCAAGAUGACUCUCUUAUUCUAUUCUAAUCCUAUCCUAGUAGUGUUGUCUCUCUAUUGGCGGCGAAAUAUCAUUUUAACGCGUUUAGUUCAAAUUUAUUUAGUAACGUACGAGUAGGGCCAAGUUUAGAAUUAGCUGAACCUAGAGCCAGAUCCGACUGUUCAGCGCUAACCAGUGUCAGUAAAGAGAAGGCUAUUGUAGUAACUUUUAUUGUAUCCGAAGUUAAUUCGAUAAUAAUUUGUGUAUCGUAGUUCUCUGCGAUCUUUACGAAAAGGUGUAUUUUUAUCGUAUACUUUUAUAGAGUUCAUUUGAGCUGCGACUGUGAAACAAACAAGAUAUUAUUUCUUUAUGAGACUGAUUUUAUGUAAUGAAGUAAAGAAAUAGUCGUCCCUAGCUGACACGUAGCCACUAGACUGGUAGUGGCUACUCAAACAUCACACAUUCAUUAUUACAUAUAUUACAUCCUUAUUAUACAAGUCUUAUACGACUCUUUUAAUCUCGGCUUGGUUUAGUAGAAGUGUUGGCUCGAUAUCAAUUACUUAUGAUAAGGAUAUGGUAGCAAGUGAAGACUCGAAUUUAAGGAAAGCUAUUUUUGUCACAGAGAAUAGGAUAAUUGAGUAUAUGCUCUGUUCCGGUGGUCAGAUGUGCUGAGUGCGGCUUCGACCUCGCGCGGUCUCCUUGCUCGGGGGACUGUGGGAAGUCUAUAUCAUGUCGUUUAGGAGAAUUUACGCAUAUCUAUAAUCUUUGAAAUCUUUUUAAACAUUGACAAACUGCUAUGGACCAUUCUAUCACCUGUUGAUUUGAAACAAAUCUUAUUUUUUACUGACAUUUUAACUGUUCAGUAGCGAAUCUAACAACGAAAUUUAAAUUUUGAAUCUUUAAUACUUAUAAAGAGCUACUUAAAUAUUUUUCAAAACAUAUAAUAUUUUGACAUAUAGCUUCUUCAUAUUUCCACUUUUCUCUUGUGUAUUCGUUUUAGAAUUGGAAGUGAAGCGAUGUCAAGUAUUUACAUACGGAGUAGGGGGAUGCGUAGUGGAGAGAGUAUUUUCAUCUAAAUUAUAUUUUUGUAAGCAAUUGCAGUUUGACCACCGGCUGACGUUGGUGCUUAGCGGAGAGUGGGGCGGGUCGCGACAACGCUCGCGUUCACAAACUCACUCGUCACACAGAGUCGGUUCGUGGAAGGCAGCUGUCGAUUAAUAUUUAUCGGUGUUGUGAUUGUAAAGUUCGAUUUGUAGAGUGACGCACGCACGAUUCGUUUCAGUAAUUUUUGAAUCUCCUUAAUCGAUUUCUCAAUAGUACCUACGAAUCUCGCGUUGAUAUCCGUUUUUAUGUCCGUUUCUUGUUGUGACGCGGUCAUCGUCAGAAAUCGUCUCUCUUGAAUAGUGAGUUAGGUCCCUUUUAUGGUAGUUGAUAAGGCUUUUUGUAUUACUAAUUAAUUAAAUAUUGAACAUAAAUUCGCACCACACACCCGAGGUACAAGUUGAUAUUUCGUGUUUCAUGGCUUUAACGGUUGCCCCGGGUAAGUAAAUAAACUGAGAAGAAUUAAUUGAUGAAUGUUUUAUCCCGGGGCGGUCGCCGCCUCUGUGCCUCGGAGUGUUAGAUCUAAGGCUAGGGUCUCGUGUUAACUAAUGUUAGGCAGACGACCGCUUGUUGCAUCAGAACUUGUCAUCUCUUAUUUUAUUUAUUAUAACUUCGUACACUUGCAGACAAAUAAUUAGCAUCUUCAAAGUUCGAAAGACUUUGUUUGGCUGCCAGUGUAUUUACAUACUACUUAUAUAUUUUUUGUAUAAUUUAUUUUCUUCGCCUGAAAGGUGUCGGGUUCUUAAACAAUACAUUCCACACGGUGUAACCAUGUUGAGUUUUUAAAUAUCUCUUUCUUUUCAUGCAUCCAAGCCUGGGUCAGUUAGAUUAAAUCUUGAUACCUUGAAAGUUGUAACUUUUAGACUGACGUAGAGGCAUGGUGCAAUCUGACAAAUUAUUUAUUUUGUAUUUAAUAAAAUGACUUGUGUAUUUAUAUUUUCCUUAUUGGUAGGUUUAUCGAUGUUUCUUAUGGCAAAUGUUCAAAGUCCUGAUUUAAAUAUUGAGCUUACAAUGUAACCGUUGGUACCUUAUACCUUGCAUUAUAUUAAUAUUUGAUGGCACUGUUAUAUCCCCUUUGAGUUGUUUGUUAAGAAGUUUUUAUCACGUGUAGUAAGAAUUUAAAUAUAUAUAAAUGUGAGAGCAUUGUUCGGUUGAAUCCUGAGUUGUAGCUUGUGAGCCGUUAUCUAAUAUUUGAGAAGUAUUCAUCUGUCAUUGAGAUAUUUGUUAAGAUACAUAACGAUGUUAAAAUUGUUACAAACCCACCAAAAUUCGGUGAAGUAAAUCACUGCCUGUUUCCAAUAGCUUCGAUGUGUUCAACCUAAUGUAUCCUUCCUCCUUCUAUGUUUGUAAGAAGAAAAACACUUGCCUUACAUAUACAGAAUAUGAGAAAUGUUUAUUGUAAGUGUUCCGAGACUAAGUGACCGCAAAAUAUUAGCACAAUGUAUGCAUUUAUUUAUACUGGUGUUUAUACGUACAUGUUGUCACAAUGUCUGAUUUACUCGGGGCUGUCACAAACUAUGCAGCUAUUGUACUGUGCACUGGCCGCCAGGGUCACCACUAAAUGCAACUUACAGAUACAAAGUACACUUAAUAACUUGGCCGCCAGUGUACCGCAGUUCAAUUUACAUUAAGGUUCAUCUAAUUAUUAAAGUAUACAAUUUUUAGGUGAAAACCACGUUCUUAUUAUUAUCUCUAUUAAAUAGGUACAGUUAGCUUUAGUUGUUAAAAUCAAUAGUCAUAUAAUUAUGUAUUCCAUGCAAGCUACAUAGAUAUAUCUGGUAGGUACUAAUUGUUGUGCGGUACGAUAAAUCAGUGUUAUAAUUAAAAUAUACAUUAAAUUUUUGCUAAGCAAGCUUUUUUGAACGGAGCUGUUCGUGUUAAGUUGGAAUGUUAUCCGAUUUAUUAAAUUAUUGAGUGUAAGGCAGGUAAUUUCAGAUCAUGACAACGUUAAUAAAAUUUGAAACAAAAUUGACUUCGACAAUUAUUUCACGACUAUAAUAAUUACAUUUUAGUUUAUGCAUUAAGUAACAGUAAUUUAUUGUGUAACUAUGAUGAAUAUUUUUUUAUGUUGCAUAGAAAAUAAAAUUUAAGAAAUUA